GCAGGGGUGGUUCAGUGGUAGAAUUCUUGCUUUCAACAAAAGAAACUGAGUUUGAUUCUCUGCUAGUGCA
rnacentral:tRNA from 1 species